CCCAAAAUCUCUUUUUUGGUGAUGUAACGUUGGGCUUGCCAAUCAUUUUUUGAUCGGUCUUGCUUGGAAUGAUAUCAAUUCCAGUCGGAUCACCUUAUUCUUCAGAUCAGGCUUUGGUAGACUACCGAAAGUCGCGUUUGAACGGAUUUAGGCCCGAAUUGAUGGGAUUUUUAAACAUUUUCAAU
rnacentral:misc_RNA from 1 species